UACAGAGGGGGCAAGCGUUAUUCGGAAUUACUGGGCGUAAAGGGCGCGUAGGCGGCCUUCUAAGUCGAACGUGAAAUCCCCGGGCUCAACCCGGGAACUGCGUCCGAUACUGGAAGGCUUGAAUCCGGGAGAGGGAUGCGGAAUUCCAGGUGUAGCGGUGAAAUGCGUAGAUAUCUGGAGGAACACCGGGUGGCGAAGGCGGCAUCCUGGACCGGUAUUGACGCUGAGGCGCGAAAGCCAGGGGAGCAAAGCGGG
rnacentral:rRNA from 1 species